rnacentral:rRNA from 1 species
UGGGUGUGACUGCGUACCUUUUGUAUAAUGGGUCAGCGACUUAUAUUCUGUAGCAAGGUUAACCGAAUAGGGGAGCCGGAGGGAAACCGAGUCUUAACCGGGCGUUAAGUUGCAGGGUAUAGACCCGAAACCCGGUGAUCUAGCCAUGGGCAGGUUGAAGGUUGGGUAACACUAACUGGAGGACCGAACCGACUAAUGUUGAAAAAUUAGCGGAUGACCUGUGGCUGGGGGUGAAAGGCCAAUCAAACCGGGAGAUAGCUGGUUCUCCCCGAAAGCUAUUUAGGUAGCGCCUCGUGAAUUCAUCUCCGGGGGUAGAGCACUGUUUCGGCUAGGGGGCCAUCCCGGCUUACCAACCCGAUGCAAACUGCGAAUACCGGAGAAUGUUAUCACGGGAGACACACGGCGGGUGCUAACGUCCGUCGUGAAGAGGGAAACAACCCAGACCGCCAGCUAAGGUCCCAAAGUCAUGGUUAAGUGGGAAACGAUGUGGGAAGGCCCAGACAGCCAGGAUGUUGGCUUAGAAGCAGCCAUCAUUUAAAGAAAGCGUAAUAGCUCACUGGUCGAGUCGGCCUGCGCGGAAGAUGUAACGGGGCUAAACCAUGCACCGAAGCUGCGGCAGCGACACUGUGUGUUGUUGGGUAGGGGAGCGUUCUGUAAGCCUGUGAAGGUGUGUCGUGAGGCAUGCUGGAGGUAUCAGAAGUGCGAAUGCUGACAUAAGUAACGAUAAAGCGGGUGAAAAGCCCGCUCGCCGGAAGACCAAGGGUUCCUGUCCAACGUUAAUCGGGGCAGGGUGAGUCGACCCCUAAGGCGAGGCCGAAAGGCGUAGUCGAUGGGAAACGGGUUAAUAUUCCCGUACUUGGUGUUACUGCGAAGGGGGGACGGAGAAGGCUAUGUUGGCCGGGCGACGGUUGUCCCGGUUUAAGCGUGUAGGUGUGUGUUCCAGGUAAAUCCGGUUCACUUUAACACUGAGGCGUGACGACGAGGCACUACGGUGCUGAAGCAACAAAUGCCCUGCUUCCAGGAAAAGCCUCUAAGCAUCAGGUAACAUCAAAUCGUACCCCAAACCGACACAGGUGGUCAGGUAGAGAAUACCAAGGCGCUUGAGAGAACUCGGGUGAAGGAACUAGGCAAAAUGGUGCCGUAACUUCGGGAGAAGGCACGCUGACACGUAGGUGAAGUGAUUUACUCAUGGAGCUGAAGUCAGUCGAAGAUACCAGCUGGCUGCAACUGUUUAUUAAAAACACAGCACUGUGCAAACACGAAAGUGGACGUAUACGGUGUGACGCCUGCCCGGUGCCGGAAGGUUAAUUGAUGGGGUCAGCGCAAGCGAAGCUCCUGAUCGAAGCCCCGGUAAACGGCGGCCGUAACUAUAACGGUCCUAAGGUAGCGAAAUUCCUUGUCGGGUAAGUUCCGACCUGCACGAAUGGCGUAAUGAUGGCCAGGCUGUCUCCACCCGAGACUCAGUGAAAUUGAACUCGCUGUGAAGAUGCAGUGUACCCGCGGCAAGACGGAAAGACCCCGUGAACCUUUACUAUAGCUUGACACUGAACAUUGAGCCUUGAUGUGUAGGAUAGGUGGGAGGCUUUGAAGUGUGGACGCCAGUCUGCAUGGAGCCGACCUUGAAAUACCACCCUUUAAUGUUUGAUGUUCUAACGUGGACCCGUUACCCGGGUUGCGGACAGUGUCUGGUGGGUAGUUUGACUGGGGCGGUCUCCUCCUAAAGAGUAACGGAGGAGCACGAAGGUUGGCUAAUCCUGGUCGGACAUCAGGAGGUUAGUGCAAUGGCAUAAGCCAGCUUGACUGCGAGCGUGACGGCGCGAGCAGGUGCGAAAGCAGGUCAUAGUGAUCCGGUGGUUCUGAAUGGAAGGGCCAUCGCUCAACGGAUAAAAGGUACUCCGGGGAUAACAGGCUGAUACCGCCCAAGAGUUCAUAUCGACGGCGGUGUUUGGCACCUCGAUGUCGGCUCAUCACAUCCUGGGGCUGAAGUAGGUCCCAAGGGUAUGGCUGUUCGCCAUUUAAAGUGGUACGCGAGCUGGGUUUAGAACGUCGUGAGACAGUUCGGUCCCUAUCUGCCGUGGGCGCUGGAGAACUGAGGGGGGCUGCUCCUAGUACGAGAGGACCGGAGUGGACGCAUCACUGGUGUUCGGGUUGUCAUGCCAAUGGCACUGCCCGGUAGCUAAAUGCGGAAGAGAUAAGUGCUGAAAGCAUCUAAGCACGAAACUUGCCCCGAGAUGAGUUCUCCCUGAGACUUAGAGUCUCCUGAAGGAACGUUGAAGACGACGACGUUGAUAGGCCGGGUGUGUAAGCGCAGCGAUGCGUUGAGCUAACCGGUACUAAUGAACCGUGAGGCUUAACCUUAC